rnacentral:rRNA from 1 species
AUUGAACGCUGGCGGCAGGCCUAACACAUGCAAGUCGAACGAGUGGCGGACGGGUGAGUAAUGUCUGGGAAACUGCCUGAUGGAGGGGGAUAACUACUGGAAACGGUAGCUAAUACCGCAUACCAUCGGAUGUGCCCAGAUGGGAUUAGCUAGUGGGUGGGGUAACGGCUCACCUUGGCUACGAUCCCUAGCUGGUCUGAGAGGAGGACCAGCCACACGGGAACCGGGACACGGUCCAGACUCCUACGGAGGGCAGCAGUGGGGAAUAUUGCACAAUGGGCGCAAGGCUGAUGCAGCCAUGCCGCGUGUAUGAAGAAGGCCUUCGGGUUGUAAAGUACUGUCAGCGGGGAGGCGUUACCCGCAGAAGAAGCACCGGCUAACUCCGUGCCAGCCGCCGCGGUAAUAC